UGCCCGGUGCUGGAAGGUUAAGAGGAGAGCUUAGCGCAAGCGAAGGUUUGAAUUGAAGCCCCAGUAAACGGCGGCCGUAACUAUAACGGUCCUAAGGUAGCGAAAUUCCUUGUCGGGUAAGUUCCGACCUGCACGAAAGGUGUAAUGAUUUGGGCACUGUCUCAACGAGAGACUCGGUGAAAUUAUAAUACCCGUGAAGAUGCGGGUUACCCGCGACAGGACGGAAAGACCCCAUGGAGCUUUACUGCAGUUUAAUAUUGGGUAUCUGU
rnacentral:rRNA from 1 species